rnacentral:rRNA from 1 species
UACGUAGGUGGCAAGCGUUGUCCGGAUUUACUGGGCGUAAAGAGCGCGCAGGCGGUCGUUCAAGUCGCGUGUGAAAGCCCCCGGCUCAACUGGGGAGGGUCACGCGAUACUGCUGUGACUAGAGUCCGGUAGGGGAGCGUGGAAUUCCUGGUGUAGCGGUGAAAUGCGCAGAUAUCAGGAGGAACACCGGUGGCGAAGGCGGGUCUCUGGGCAGUAACUGACGCUGAGGAGCGAAAGCGUGGGGAGCGAACAGG